rnacentral:rRNA from 1 species
ACGGGUGAGUAACGCGUGGGAAUCUACCCAUCUCUACGGAACAACUCCGGGAAACUGGAGCUAAUACCGUAUACGUCCUUCGGGAGAAAGAUUUAUCGGAGAUGGAUGAGCCCGCGUUGGAUUAGCUAGUUGGUGGGGUAAUGACCUACCAAGGCGACGAUCCAUAGCUGGUCUGAGAGGAUGAUCAGCCACACUGGGACUGAGACACGGCCCAGACUCCUACGGGAGGCAGCAGUGGGGAAUAUUGGACAAUGGGCGCAAGCCUGAUCCAGCCAUGCCGCGUGAGUGAUGAAGGCCCUAGGGUUGUAAAGCUCUUUCAACGGUGAAGAUAAUGACGGUAACCGUAGAAGAAGCCCCGGCUAACUUCGUGCCAGCAGCCGCGGUAAUACGAAGGGGGCUAGCGUUGUUCGGAAUUACUGGGCGUAAAGCGCACGUAGGCGGAUACUUAAGUCAGGGGUGAAAUCCCGGGGCUCAACCCCGGAACUGCCUUUGAUACUGGGUAUCUCGAGUCCGGAAGAGGUGAGUGGAAUUCCGAGUGUAGAGGUGAAAUUCGUAGA